CAGUAGGUCACGUGGUGCUGCGUGCGCACGGAGGCGCAGGGCGGCCGGGUCACCGAGUGCGCAGGCGCGGCGGGCCUCGCCCUGCCCCGCGGCGGGAACGCGGCCGUGGGGGUGCGGAGCGCAGGCCGGUCAGGCCUACAACGGCGGGUCGUGGGACGCGGCCUUCGCAUCCCUGCGCAGACGGAGAUAGUCCGGGCCGCCGCCAGGGAGUGUGACAACUUUUCAUCUUUGGUGCACAAGAUGAAACGCGGAACCCCGCGUUCCAGGGAGGAAGCGCCUUUGACAGCUCGCGCCGGUGCGUGGGCCCUGCCUGCGUGGGCCCCGGGACGCUGGGCCUGGCGGAGAUGCCCGUCCGCUUCGACUGUAGGCCGUUCCUCCUCGGAGCUGAGCAAGGAUCCGUCCUUAUGGCAUUCUCGACCUGUGAUUCUUGGCGGGGGUGGGGGGGUGAUAUUGUAGUUAUGUGGAUAGAAAUACAGUUAGCAAAAUAAAAAUGCCAAUUUUACAUUAAA